rnacentral:tRNA from 1 species
GGGAAUGUGGCUUAAUGGUAGAGUGCUUGCCUAACAUGCAUGAAGUCCUGGGUUCAAUUCCUUAAUACCA